GACAGCAGCAGGGAAACAAGGGUCGCAGCCAGUCCCAACUCUGGAACAUCAGGUCCAUGACAAAGCAAAGUCAGAUUUUCACAUUGCUAUUUCCAGCUAUGGUAUCACUGGCAAUGGCGAUGGUUAGUGUGGUUUGCAGAGAACAAAAUCUUUGGCAAAGAAUAGUCCUCAACCUGGGAAACAGGCAGAGAACAUCCACCUCCCAGGACACAGGGUCAACACAAGGCCGAGCAGGAAACCUGGAGGGACAAGCUUCCACUUUGUUCCCACAGUUUCUGCUGCUUAGAGAACACAGUCCAGGACGCUGCAUGGAUGUGACUCUUGGUUUUGUUUUUGUUUGAGAUAGAAUUCCAUACUAUAUAGACCAGGCUGAUCAAACAAACUCACCAUCUUCCUGCCUCAACCCUGCAGCUCCCCAUCUCUGGGAUUACAGCUAUAUACCAUGACACCUAUCUCAGACUCCUUGACAAGAUUCAAAUUAAAUAAACAAACAAUCACCAAGCAAG
rnacentral:lncRNA from 1 species